GGGUAGGGGAAUAAUUAAAACAAUAACUACCUAAUGGGUUUCAAAUCAUACCUUUUAAUCAAAUGUCAUAUGUCUGUUUUCGUUAAAUCUGACAGAUUACAUAGUGAACAUUUAUCUUUUUGCUGCUACUCUUCUUUCAUAAUAAAGUUCAGAAAUAAUCUGUCAAUCGCUUUCUCGAUUCCUGUAUUAACUGGGGUGUCUUCUAAUGUGUUUUUGGCAAAGUUCUAACAAAAUAACUCCCAUUUAACCUGUUUUAACCCAUAGCUAUGAUAAUAUAUAUGGCUAAGAAUACACCACUUGGUCUCUUUUACCAAAGACUUAUCUUUCAUUUCUAUUUUAAGAGAACUAGU
rnacentral:lncRNA from 1 species